rnacentral:lncRNA from 1 species
ACAUUAAAAGCGGUGACUGCUGGUUAAGAACCGAGUACCUGUUGUGUGUCCUUGUUGAAAGUUCACUAUGCUGCAACCCACGUUAAUACAACACAGAACAAUUCAGCAACACAUAAAGUUACAACAUGGUGUCAGAAGUUCGAUCUCUCAUGUGAACGAAGACUACAGCCGGGCGACGCAAGUAAGCUAGCUGAAGAUUAGCACAUGGCGAAAGCUGCCGACAACAUGGAGCAAUUCAAGUCACCAUCGCCGCUGCUGCUCUCCGGCAAUUAGUCUGAGACCUGGCGCAGAUGGGAACAAAGAUUCCAGCUGUACAUGACCGCAUCAGUGUCCAGUCAUGCAGAUAAGUCGAUCCUUGGAGGACAAGCACGUGAAGAGCUGCAGCUGGUGAAGCGAGUUGGGACAAUAGCAACAACAAAGUCGCCACAGCUGACCAAACCAUCAGCUACUAAAGAAGAGCUCAUAGAGGAGUACGCAGAGGUCUUCACGGGUUUGGGCCAAAAAGCAGACGACGCAAAGAUCAAAGCCAUCAGUGACAUACCAACUCCAGACGACAAAAAGUAUUCAACGUCUGCUUGGAAUGACAGAGUUCUUGGCACAGUACAUUCAAAAUGAAGCAUCGCUCUCUGCACCUUUGAGGACACAAUCUAGCAGUGACAACCACACCACACAGCAGCGUUAAGCACACUCAAGACAGCACUCACUCAAGCUCCAGUUCUGAGAUUCUACGACCAAAAGAAACCUUUGAGCAAACUCUUCAAAAGAUGGACUGGGUGCGUGCCUGCUACAAGAAGGACAGCCUGUAUGCCAUGAGUCACGAGCUCUCACAGACACGGAAAAGAGAUAAGCACAAAUAGACAAAGAGUUGCUAGUCAUUGUGUUUGCCACCAAAAGAUUGCAGUAUGUCUAUGGAAGACUAGUGACUGUGCAGUCUGAUCAUAAGACUCUAGAAGCAAUCAUGUUCAAACCGCUUUCCAAAGCACCAGCGAGGUUGCAAGGAAUGCCGUUACAGCUACAGAGGCAUCAACUUACUGUUACAUACACACCAG